rnacentral:lncRNA from 1 species
AUGACGUCGUUCGCCAAUACCGUGAAGGAUUACCAUGGGGUAUUUGGCAUAGAGUAAUGCCAUAGAAUAGAGAAACCAAUGAAUUGUUUUGGGGAUAUAAUAUUUGUAACAUGUAUGAUCAGGCAUAAGGCAACCUUAGCAAUUAAUGAAUAAAAAAUAGCAUAUCACUUUUUAUUAUGAAAAUGAAGCUUGCAUCAGGUGUCUUGUAGCUCAGCAUGCACACUAAAGUAUAUAAACUGAAUACAAAAACAAAUCUGCCCAACAUGCAGUUAAAAGGUAAUGAUAAUACUAACACCUAUGUUUUUAUUAUGAAAAUGAAGAUGAAUUGUAAUCGAAUAACUUAAAAGAAAAUGGGUCACAUGGGUAAUAAUAAAAAAUAAUAGGAGUAAAUAGUGAUAGUCUAACUAUUUUAUAUAGUAAACAAAUUUUAAGUCAUAAGUUUUAACACAACAUAUCUUCAUUUUACAGUAGUUAUACAUCCAUCAGGUCUGAAUGACUUACCACCGAGGCUUUCAUAUGUUGUCCAGGCGUCUAAUCAUGUAGUUACGCAUAGGCCAUGACAUGCACUUCCAAUCUAAGCCGGAAACCCUUCGUCACUCAUAAUUGGAUGCCCAUCAUCAUAUCUCCAGUGGCACGCCUAACGAUAAGAUAAAACAUACAAAAAUAUGUUAUUUAGACUGAAGCAACUAUGACAUCUAGUUAGAUACAAACCUGAAACGUUUUUUAUAAACUCUUGACGAUAAUCGGUUUGAUAAAUAUAAGCUAUCACCUGUCCUCUACGAAGCAUUUAAAUUUUUUUUUUAAGUUUUUUCAUUGCAUACACAUUGUCGGUAGUCUUCUCCCUGCAUAUUCUAACGUGUGGAAUACAUUAGAAGUAAAAUGGUCAACAGGUCAAGGCAGGUCAAAAAAGAGUUGGUAAACGUGACUUUUGAAUAUCGUUAACGAAAGAAACUACUAUAUACCUCUCCAAAUGCACCUUUUGAAUAUC